rnacentral:SRP_RNA from 1 species
UAUCGGUUCCCCCGCGACGAUAGGCCGUGAACCCCGCCAGGCCCGGAAGGGAGCAACGGUAGCGGUUGACUCGGGCGCCGGGGUGCAGCUGGUAUGA